GACGAACGCUGGCGGCGUGCUUAACACAUGCAAGUCGAACGGAAAGGCCCUGCUUUUGUGGGGUGCUCGAGUGGCGAACGGGUGAGUAACACGUGAGUAACCUGCCCUUGACUUUGGGAUAACUUCAGGAACUGGGGCUAAUACCGGAUAGGAGCUCCUGCUGCAUGGUGGGGGUUGGAAAGUUUCGGCGGUUGGGGAUGGACUCGCGGCUUAUCAGCUUGUUGGUGGGGUAGUGGCUUACCAAGGCUUUGACGGGGAGCCGGCCUGAGAGGGUGACCGGCCACAUUGGGACUGAGAUACGGCCCAGACUCCUACGGGAGGCAGCAGUGGGGAAUAUUGCACAAUGGGCGGAAGCCUGAUGCAGCAACGCCGCGUGCGGGAUGACGGCCUUCGGGUUGUAAACCGCUUUCGCCUGUGACGAAGCGUGAGUGACGGUAAUGGGUAAAGAAGCACCGGCUAACUACGUG
rnacentral:rRNA from 1 species